GGGAGGCAGCAGUGGGGAAUAUUGGACAAUGGGAGCAAGCCUGAUCCAGCCAUGCCGCGUGUGUGAAGAAGGCCUUAGGGUUGUAAAGCACUUUCAGUGGGGAGGAAGGCCUUAAGGUUAAUAGCCUUGAGGAUUGACGUUACCUACAGAAGAAGCACCGGCUAACUCCGUGCCAGCAGCCGCGGUAAUACGGAGGGUGCGAGCGUUAAUCGGAAUUACUGGGGGUAAAGCGCGCGUAGGCGGUUAGAUAAGCUGGAUGUGAAAGCCCUGGGCUCAACCUGGGAAGGGCAUUCAGAACUGGCUGGCUAGAGUACGAGAGAGGGUAGUGGAAUUUCCUGUGUAGCGGUAAAAUGCGUAGAUAUAGGAAGGAACAUCAGUGGCGAAGG
rnacentral:rRNA from 1 species